rnacentral:lncRNA from 10 species
GCCCGGCCACCACCCCGUCUGGGAGGUGUACCCAACAGCUCGUUGAGAACGGGCCAUGAUGACGAUGGCGGUUUUGUCGAAUAGAAAAGGGGGAAAUGUGGGGAAAAGAAAGAGAGAUCAGAUUGUUACUGUGUGUAGAAAGAAGUAGACAUAGGAGACUCCAUUUUGUUCUGUACUAAAAAAUUCUUCUGCCUUGGGAUGCUGUUAAUCUAUAACCUUACCCCCAACCCUGUGCUCUCUGAAACAUAUGCUGUGUCCACUAAGGGUUAAAUGGAUUAAGGGCGGUGCAAGAUGUGCUUUGUUAAACAGAUGCUUGAAGGCAGCAUGCUCGUUCAGAGUCAUCACCACUCCCUAAUCUGAAGUACCCAGGGACACAAACACUGCAGAAGGCGGCAGGGCCCUCUGCCUAGGAAAACCAGAGACCUUUGUUCACAUGUUUAUCUGCUGACCUUCCCUCCACUAUUGUCCUGUGACCCUGCCAAAUCCCCCUCUCCGAGAAACACCCAAGAAUGAUCAAUAAAUACUAAAAAAAUUUAAAAAAAAAAAGAAAAAAAUGUAUUUAAUAUUGAUGAAUGUUGGAACACUUUACAUAGAUAUACUUGGAUUUUCUCAGUAGAUAUGAAAAUAAAUCCCCUUGUUCUCCUUGGUUAAGUUUUUAUUUAUGUUGAAAUUAAUACAUCUCUUCUCUAGAAUUCUGUUUUGUAUAUGGUCUGCAAACUGGAAUGCUACAGAAAAACUCCACAAAGCUGAUGAUGAAUAUGCAAACAAGAGGGGGAAGCCCUCUCAUCCUCCUCCCACUGGGGGAAACGAAAGCACAGAGGUCAUUCAGCAAAUGAAUCUCCAAGUGGAAAAAUAUAAUUACAAGGAGUUUGGUAAAACUUUCUACUUGGAAAUAAAAAUUACAGAGAACUAGACUGGGAAGAAAUCUUUCUUGCUGUGUCUUCCUCUUGCUAUCUUUUCUAGAAGAAAAGCCUGGAAAUGAGAAGCCUUCGGAAUAAAUGAAGAAUUCAAAAGAUUUUGAUGUCAAAGUACUAUGCUGACAUUCAGAGAGAUGGCAGGUAGGGGCUUUUGCAAGGACACAUUUUGACAUCCAGUAAGAGUCAAGGUGAGGUAUAAAAAUAACAGUUUGAUAUUCUAUCUAUUUAGUUGUUCUUGUUGUGAUGAAAAAUUUCAAAAACUUGUAGAAAAGUAUAGAUGUCAGAAUAAUGAACCAACAUGUAAUCAUCAUUCAGCUUAGACAAUUAUCAAACAGAGUUUUUAACAAGGUUAAUCUUGUUUCAUCAAGAUACAUUUGGAAAAAACAUUAAAGUCUGCGAGUUUAUUCUUCGUAGUCCCUAGAGUUCUACAUUACAGGAAGUAAGAUGUGUUACUUUAACUGUGGUUGACAACUGCUGAAGACACUUGUCCUCUGCCUGUUAUUGUUUCUCAAACACUGCCACUACAUUUCUUGUCUAAGUUUUAUAAAGUUAAAAGAUGAAAUUUAAGUUUUUUUCAGUUACCUAUUCUAAUAUAUUCAAAUAUUUCUGAAGAACAUAUACUUUAGCCCUAAAAUGCCUUUCUGUUCUGAGAGUGUACAUUUUUUUGUACCAUAAUAUAUUAAAAUAGAUUAAACAUACUGGUUUUAGCUAAGAUAAUUUAGCUUUAGUUAACAUUCACUAGUGAUUUACUAUAGAUCUUUUUUUUUAUUACACUUUAAGUUCUUGCAUACAUGUGCAAAACAUGCAGGUCAUAGGUAUACACGUGCCACGGUGGUUUUCUGCACCCAUCAACCCGACAUCUACAUUAGGUAUUUCUCCUAAUGCUAUCCCUCCCCUAGCCUCCCACCCCAAGACAGGCCCUGUUGUGUGAUGUUCCCCUCCCUGUGUCCAUGUAUUCUCAUUGUUCAACUCCCACUUAUGAGUGAGAACAUGCAGUGUUUGGUUUUCUGUUCUUGUGUUAGUUUGCUGA